rnacentral:tRNA from 2 species
AGGUAGAAUGGCCGAGUGUUAGGCGGCAGGCUGUAAUCCUGCUUACACGGGUUUUAAUCCUGUUUCUUC